CCCAAAAUGCUGGGAUUACAAGCAUGAACCACUGUGACUUGCCUUCUUGGCAAUUUUAAAUGAAAGAAGAAGAUGGAAUAAUGCCUACUGAGGACUAUGUUUGAGGGGUGUUGUAUGACCCCGUUUUCCAUACCCAGCCAACUUGUCACUCAUGUGACAAGUCCACAGAAAGAUGUUAUAUGGCCAGGAAUCUAUGAACUAUGUCGUUCAUUCAGUCUUCCCUAAAUGUACCUGACUACAGCUAACAUCAUAUCACAUGAUGAAAGACCACGUUGUUUUCCCCUGAGGUUGGCAGUGCAGGAAGACGUAUGUGAAAUAAUUCAUGGAGAAGUCAUAGUGGCCUUGAAGUUUUCCAGAUAACUAUGAAAAACUACGUUAAGAUGCUAUUUUUCAACAAAAUUCAUUUUACCAACCUCAAAACGUAUUUCCUCCGAAGAGGGUACGCACUGACAAACAACUCCCGAGUGUGGCAUGCUAGCAAGAGCACUAGGCUGGGAGUCAAGAGACUUAAAUUCCACCCGGAAGCCACCACAUGACCUUGGCAUGAGCCCAUCACCAGGCUCCUCAGCCUCCUCAUCGCAGCACCAGGGAUUUCCCAAGCCCUCAGGAAAUACUGUAACUUGACAACAAUGGAGAAAGACUUUCACCCAUGUGGUCGGAAUGCUAGCCUUAAAAAG
rnacentral:antisense_RNA from 1 species